UGCACCGUGAAACCUCGCCCGCCGAGUGCCCAUUGCCCCUGCCCGGGCCACGUGGGGACCCACCUCAGGAAGAGUCUCCAGCCUGGGGUGGGUGGUCGGGGGGACACUGCAUGGCCUCUUCCGGAAAGGCCCGGCAGACACAGGGUCGCCCGCGGUCAACACACAACAAGGAGGGGCCACGGGUUAGGGCCCCAGAGCGCGUGGCCAGGUCCAGGACUGGGGGUCCCGUCUCCCCUCGCCCAGCUCCUUCCGGCUCAGAGUGGCCUCCCCCAUCCCCUACCCAGCCCUCGUUCUCCAGCCUCCCUUUCGCGCACGCAGAUCCUUCCCCCUCAGUUCUUUCCCCACGCAGAAGCUGCCCCCUCCAAAUCCUUCCUCCUCUGAUCCUUCCCCCUUCAGAGCUUUCCCUCCUCAGAUCCUUCCUCCUCAGGUCUUUCCCCCUCAGGUUCUUCCUCCUCAUGUUCUUCCCGCCUCAGAGCCUUCCCCUUCAGAGCCUUCACCGCUCAGAGUUUUCUCCUCAGAUCCGUCCCCCCUCAGAUCACUCCGCCCUCAGAUCCUUCCCCCUCAGUUCUUUCCCCACGCAGAAGCUGCCACCUCCAAAUCCUUCCUCCUCUGAUCCUUCCCCCUCUGAUCCUUUCCCCUUCAGAGCUUUCCCUCCUCAGAUCCUUCCUCCUCAGGUCUUUCCCCCUCAGGUUCUUCCUCCUCAUGUUCUUCCCGCCUCAGAGCCUUCCCCUUCAGAUCCUUCACCGCUCAGAGUUUUCUCCUCAGAUCCGUCCUCCCUCAGAUCACUCCGCCCUCAGAUCCUUCCCCCUCAGGUCCUUUCCCUCUCUCAGAUUCUUUUCUCCUCAGGUCCUUCCCCCUCAGACCCUUCCCCUUCCUAUCCUUCCUGCUUCAGAGCCUUCCACUCAGAUCAUUCCCCCCUCAGGUCCUUUCCUCAUCAGAUCCUUCCACCUUCGGAGUCUUUCCCAGGCAAAAGCUGCCACCCUCUUAUCUUUCUGCCCUGGGGUCCUUCCCCCUCAAUCAUUCCCCGUCAGGUCCUUCCUCCUCAGGUCCUUCCCCCUCAGAUCCUUCCCCGUUCAGAGCCUUCCACUCUCAGACCAUUCCGCCCUCAGAUUUUUUCCCCCUCAGGUCCUUCCCUCCUCAGAUGCUUUCCCCUCAGAUCCUUCCCCUUUCACAUCCUUUCACCCUCAGAUCCUUCUGCCCACAGAUCCUAUCUCCCCUCAGAGCCUUCCACUCUCAGAUCUUUCCCCGUCAGAGCCUUCCCUCUCAGAUACCUCCGCUCUCCGACCCUUCCCACCUGGGAUCCUACCCCACUUGGAUCCUUCCCCAAGGCGGAGUCUUCCCCCCACCUCAGAUCUUUCCACCCUCGGAUCCCUCCCCCCGCGUCGGAUCCUUAUCCCCUCGGAUCCCUCCCCGUACCCCGUUGUGGUCCCUCCCCCUCAGAUCGUUCCACCCUCGGACCCCUCCGCUCGGAUCCCUCCCCUCCACCCCACCCCCACCCGUGCAAUCCUUCCCCAUUGGAUCCCUCUGUCCUUGGAUCCCUCACCCCUCGGAUCCUUCCCCCACCACCCCCGCAAUCCUUCCGCCUCGGAUCUUUCCACCUUGCAAUCAUUCCACCCUCAGCUCCUCCCACCCUUAGAUUCUUCUCCACGCAGAUGCCUCCACAUUAUUUGUACUUGAGUGGCAGCAGCUGGGCAGAAGCUCUGUGACCGCGGGUCCCUUGCUCCUGUUCCCGUGGUGCCCACCCACGCCUGGAACCCACAGCGGAGCCUGGCCACUGCAGGUUCUGGAGUCAAGAAGUCCAAAAUGAAGGUGUUCGCGGGGCCAUGCUCCCUCCAAAGCCUCUAGGGGAGCUUCUUCCUUGCUUCCUCCAGCUUCUGGUGGCCCAAGCAAUCCUUGGGUUUCAGCUGCAUCGUUCCAGUCUCUGCUCCGUCUACACAUAACACUCUCCUAUGUCUAAUUUCCCUGUUUUAAUAACGAUACCAGUUUUGGAUCAAGGCCCACCCUGAUUCAGGACGAGUUUAUUUUAGCUUGAUUACAUCUGCAAAGACCCUAUUUUCAAAUAAGUUCCCAUUCAAAGGCAUCCCUCACACAGAUCCUAGGGCUUGGACGUAUUUUUGAGGGAACAUCAUUCAACCCACAAUGCACCCUCAUCAUUUGUGGGUUGCAACUGUCUUCUCCCACUCGUGGUUUCUGCUUCCAUUUUUUGAAGGCUGUUUUGAUAAGCAGAAGUUCAUAGUUUUAAUGAAGUCAUUUUGUCAAUAUUUCCUUUUAUGGUUAGUACCCAUUGUCCUAAUGAAGAAACCUUUCCCUCUCUGAGACCAGAAAAAUCUCCUGUAUUAUCUUUGAGAUGCUUUAUUGUUUUGCUUUUCCAGUUUAGGUUUAUCCACCUGGAGUAGACUUCUCUGUGUAAUGUGAG